AUUAUGCUGAGCAGGGAUGGGCACAUUUGAAAUGGCACAUUUUAAAUAAAAUGCACUUACCUCUGUGAAAUGAAGGAGACGUCAAAGGGGCACAACUCAAAAAGUGGCGCUCAAGCUGGCAGAUGUCACGUGAGUAAUCUGAUUGGUUGAUCAAUUUUACCUUAAGCACCUCCCUUGUUGACCCAGGAACGCGUCUAACUCGGCAGAAUCAGGACGUGCGACAGGGCAAUCACAGCAACAGACAUGAAGACUGCAUGUCUCCCGCAAGGAACAUAAUCUUCAACUAAUUUACCAAAUCGAGUCCAGGCUGAGGUCAAGCUACAAGUUUCUUUUUUUUGAUCAUCAACUCCAAAAGCCAAAAGUUAGAACAAAGGAAAAACGUAUCCAGCUUCUCUCCACACACACCAACAAAAGAGAAUCAAAGUUCCUUUGUUCCCAGCUCAUCAUUAGCUUUUUUCCUUCACUCCCAACAGCUGUGUCUCCCCCGCUGAGGAACAUGGUAACUGUAGUUCGGGACCAGGUGGCCAUCUUGGUUUGUAGUCCCCAUGCUGCAGCCAUCUAGAUGGCACAUACCGUCCCUCUAUGACACACCUCAGGAUGCCACAGAAGAAAUUAGGGUGGUGAAUAAAAUAAUAUUAUUCAUAUUUUUUAAUUAAUUUUCAUAUUUGAAUAUUUAAAGAGCCAAGAGUAUUAGUAAAAUAUACACUGUAAGAGAAAAAAAAUCUAUACAGAAAAUUCCUUCAUAUUAACACAGUACACUGCACACUAUUUUUACGGACUUAACCUUUAUAUGAUGGGAAAAAUGAAAUCUGUUGAAUAAAAUG